GUUUUGAAAAAAAAAAAACAUAUAGUUGGAUCGAUACAGAGAAUAUUAGCAUGGCCCCUGCGAAAGGAUGACACGCAAAUCCGUGAAGCGCUCCAUAUUGCU
ensembl:snRNA U6 U6 spliceosomal RNA